CCUUGUGAAAGAUUUAGCCACACUGCCAGAGACUUUCUGUUCAGAAAGAAAUCAGUCUUUUCGUACUGUUGAAGAGGUGUUCCAGGAACUGGUCACUCAGGUUGAUCCUGCUGUCGCCAUUAUAAUUACUUCAUUAUAAUUCUUUAGAGCUCUCAACACUCAGACUGAUAUGUUAAGAGAGCAGAAUCGCAAGCUGGACGCGAUCCUUGAACAGAAUUGCCGGCUGGCUGCGUUUCCCGGACUCAAAGACCCGGGGAAGCAGAGAUGGCUUCGACAACUUGGAGGUGUCGUCUGGAAUUUGGAAGAACAGGUGAAAAAAUUGGGAUCACUGACAAGGACCAACAAACAUCGGACACAGGCUAGCCAAAAACUACAGAAAAGGAAGGAUGGGUGUGUUCCAUGCUGAGGCUGAGGGUUCUAACACACCUGCUGCCUUCAGGCCUUCAAUGGUGUCUCUGAUGCCUUCCUGAGCCUGUUGUUUGUGUGGAUACUGUGGAACCCAAAUAGGCAAGGGAGAUGCAACCUGAAAAGAGACUGGGGCACAGGGGGUUAAUCCUACAUCUGUGGGCCCAUCAGCCCAUAACUGAUAAGAAUACCUUAAGUUGGUGACUGAGGUGUCCUGCCAGUCCCCAGCUGCCAGAGAGCGCUU